UGGGGAAUAUUGGACAAUGGGCGCAAGCCUGAUGCAGCCAUGCCGCGUGUAUGAAGAAGGCCUUCGGGUUGUAAAGUACUUUCAGCGGGGAGGAAGGCGAUAAGGUUAAUAACCUUGUCGAUUGACGUUACCCGCAGAAGAAGCACCGGCUAACUCCGUGCCAGCAGCCGCGGUAAUACGGAGGGUGCAAGCGUUAAUCGGAAUUACUGGGCGUAAAGCGCACGCAGGCGGUCUGUCAAAUCGGAUGUGAAAUCCCCGGGCUCAACCUGGGAACUGCAUUCGAAACUGGCAGGCUAGAGUCUUGUAGAGGGGGGUAGAAUUCCAGGUGUAGCGGUGAAAUGCGUAGAGAUCUGGAGGAAUACCGGUGGCGAAGGCGGCCCCCUGGACAAAGACUGACGCUCAGGUGCGAAAGCGUGGGGAGCAAACA
rnacentral:rRNA from 1 species